GAUGAACGCUGGCGGCGUGCUUAACACAUGCAAGUCGAACGGAGUGUACUUUUAUUGAAGAUUCGUCUGAUUUAGCUGUACACUUAGUGGCGGACGGGUGAGUAACGCGUGGGUAACCUGCCUCAUACAGGGGGAUAGCAGCUGGAAACGGCUGAUAAAACCGCAUAAGCGCACACUAUCGCAUGAUAGAGUGUGAAAAACUCCGGUGGUAUGAGAUGGACCCGCGUCUGAUUAGCUAGUUGGUGAGGUAACGGCCCACCAAGGCGACGAUCAGUAGCCGGCCUGAGAGGGUGAACGGCCACAUUGGGACUGAGACACGGCCCAAACUCC
rnacentral:rRNA from 1 species